rnacentral:lncRNA from 1 species
AGGGCGGGUGGGCAGGCAUGGUGUUUAAUCUAUCGCCUAUUUCCUGUUGUCCCCACCUGACCACCUCUGCUGCCUUUCUUUCUUUUAAUUAAGGUAACGAUUUUGCAGAGACGAUGUCAGAUACCUUAUAGAUUGCCCCACAUUCUGGGAGGAGGAUGGCCACUGCUGGGACAAGCAAGCCCGUAUCCUUGGAUUCCCUAAGCCAACAGUAAUGACUAACGCUUUGAUUUACUUUAGGUUCAAUGUUUUCUUGAACAAGACCACACCACAGGUGAUGUUGGUUACCUCCUCUGGUUUUCACCAGGAAGCGUCAACUAGUGGACGGCUCCACAGAUGGCCAUUGCCUGAUCUCACAGUACAUACUUACCUCUGAGUACACACUUACCAUCCCCUUCGCAAAUAGCAGGGAAGCCCUUGUUGAUUCUCCCCACUUGGAGAGGGUGAAGGGAGAGGGUGAGGGUGACUCCCUAAACCUCGCACUCCGUCCUCAUUUAACUCUUGCUACUUUCUCCAAACAGGAGUUGUCCUUGUUAACUGAGGAUAGAUGUGUUCUGGGCACAUGACCCACUUUCAGUGUAAGGAACUCUUGUGGGGUCACUUCAGGGGUGGGAAAUGACAGGACUAUGCCUUUCUCCUGGUCACAGUGGGGAUUCUACACUAGACCAUGCCCAAAUGGAGCAGGGCUCAGGGGGUCACUUAGCAAUCAGUAUGCACACAGGGUAAGGCAACAUCCUCUGCCCCCCUGGAGGGGAGGGACCUCAGAGUAUCCCCAUCAGAACUGCCCCUUGAGUGAAACGGUCACUCUGCCCUCCUAGCACCCUGGCCUCCAGGGGAGCUGAUGCCCUCACAGCACCCUGCAGCCACAUUCAGACCCCUUCCCCAGGAGGACCUGGCCAGACCUCGCCUCCCACAGAACCAUGGGCUUCCUAAUUGGUGUUUGCUCUGCUUUGUUUACAUUUUAGUAUUAUUGUGGGCUCAUGUGUUUUAUCUUUUAUAUUUCACAAUAAGAAGCAUUUUUGUUGCUUGUUUUUUUGGGGGAUGCUGGAAUUAUCCCACAUUUAGCCAAUGGAAUUGCCUUUGACAUACCUUUGCAUGCUUUUGAGCCCUGUCUUUC